rnacentral:rRNA from 1 species
GAUUAGAGUUUGAUCCUGGCUCAGAUUGAACGCUGGCGGCUGGCUUACACAUGCAAGUCGAGCGGUAGCACAGGGGAGCUUGCUCCCCGGGUGACGAGCGGCGGACGGGUGAGUAAUGUCUGGGAAACUGCCUGAUGGAGGGGGAUAACUACUGGAAACGGUAGCUAAUACCGCAUAACGUCGCAAGACCAAAGAGGGGGACCUUCGGGCCUCUUGCCAUCAGAUGUGCCCAGAUGGGAUUAGCUAGUAGGUGGGGUAAUGGCUCACCUAGGCGACGAUCCCUAGCUGGUCUGAGAGGAUGACCAGCCACACUGGAACUGAGACACGGUCCAGACUCCUACGGGAGGCAGCAGUGGGGAAUAUUGCACAAUGGGCGCAAGCCUGAUGCAGCCAUGCCGCGUGUGUGAAGAAGGCCUUCGGGUUGUAAAGCACUUUCAGCGAGGAGGAAGGUGGUGAGCUUAAUACGUUCAUCAAUUGACGUUACUCGCAGAAGAAGCACCGGCUAACUCCGUGCCAGCAGCCGCGGUAAUACGGAGGGUGCAAGCGUUAAUCGGAAUUACUGGGCGUAAAGCGCACGCAGGUGGUUUGUUAAGUCAGAUGUGAAAUCCCCGGGCUCAACCUGGGAACUGCAUUUGAAACUGGCAAGCUAGAGUCUCGUAGAGGGGGGUAGAAUUCCAGGUGUAGCGGUGAAAUGCGUACAGAUCUGAAGGAAUACCGGUGGCGAACGCGGUCCCCUGGACCAAUACUGACCUCCCGUGCGAAGCGUUGGGAGCAAACAGAUUACAUACCCUGCUGUCCACCCUGAAAACGAGUCGAUU